rnacentral:rRNA from 1 species
GCAGGGAUUGCCCUAGUAACGGCGAGUGAAGCGGCAACAGCUCAAAUUUGAAAUCUGGCGUCUUUGGCGUCCGAGUUGUAAUUUGCAGAGGGCGCUUUGGCAUUGGCAGCGGUCCAAGUUCCUUGGAACAGGACGUCACAGAGGGUGAGAAUCCCGUACGUGGUCGCUAGCCUUUACCGUGUAAAGCCCCUUCGACGAGUCGAGUUGUUUGGGAAUGCAGCUCUAAAUGGGAGGUAAAUUUCUUCUAAAGCUAAAUACUGGCCAGAGACCGAUAGCGCACAAGUAGAGUGAUCGAAAGAUGAAAAGCACUUUGGAAAGAGAGUUAAAAAGCACGUGAAAUUGUUGAAAGGGAAGCGCUUGCAGCCAGACUUGCCUGUAGUUGCUCAUCCGGGUUUUUACCCGGUGCACUCUUCUAUAGGCAGGCCAGCAUCAGUUUGGGCGGUUGGAUAAAGGUCUCUGUCAUGUACCUCCUUUCGGGGAGAUCUUAUAGGGGAGACGACAUGCAACCAGCCUGGACUGAGGUCCGCGCAUCUGCUAGGAUGCUGGCGUAAUGGCUGUAAGCGGCCCGUCUUGAAACACGGACCAAGGAGUCUAACAUCUAUGCGAGUGUUUGGGUGUCAAGCCCGAACGCGUAAUGAAAGUGAACGGAGGUGGGAACCUUUCGGGGUGCACCAUCGACCGAUCCUGAUGUCUUCGGAUGGAUUUGAGUAAGAGCAUAGCUGUUGGGACCCGAAAGAUGGUGAACUAUGCUUGAAUAGGGUGAAGCCAGAGGAAACUCUGGUGGAGGCUCGCAGCGGUUCUGACGUGCAAAUCGAUCGUCAAAUUUGGGCAUAGGGGCGAAAGACUAAUCGAACUAUCUAGUAGCUGGUUCCUGCG